AUAAUUUUAAUUAUAAACAUGUCAUUUCUAAUUUAGUAUUAUAAUUGCAUUUUAAUUUUAAUUAUAGUUUUUACAUUUACGUAGAUUUUUGUGGAAAUUAAAACAGAAGUUGUCUUCGGGAGUUCACAUUAUUAUAUUUUAUGGGAAAAGAAAUCGUGUUCGAAAAAAUUUAAAUUCUUCAUUAUCAGAAUUACACCAAUCUGAAAGAUUUCAUUUACAUCCAUUAGUGGGCAUUAAAACUAAAGGAUCUUGUGCUAAGAAUUUAUCAAAAACUGCCUAUUUAGCAGAUGAAGAACUCCCAAAAGAAGUACGCUUCGUAUUAAUGUGUUCUCGUACUACAGAAAUUCAAAAGUGUUUUGCUGAGAUCAGUGGAAAGGGAAGAAAUUGUGUGACUAUUCCAAAAUCAAGUAACGUGAUGAGAGACUUUUACAAUAUAGCUGCAGUAAA